ensembl:snRNA U6 U6 spliceosomal RNA
UUGCUUCAGCAGCAAAUAUACUAAAUUUAGAAAUAUACAGAAAAGAUCAGCAUGGUCCCUGCACAAGGAUGAUACAGGAAAAGCUUUUGUACAAACAAAACUAAUUU